rnacentral:rRNA from 15 species
GAAGGACGUAAGUGAACGAAAACUAGGGUAAGCUCACAAAAAGCAAGGACCCCUAGGUAUCCGAAUGGGGAAACCCGUCUGUGGAAGACACAGACAUCAUAAAGUAAAUACAUAGCUUUAUGAAGUAAGACCCUGCGAACUGAAACAUCUAAGUAGCAGGAGGAAAAGAAAGAAAACUCGAUUUUCCAAGUAGCGGCGAGCGAACAGAAAACAGCCCAACCCAGUAAGAAAUAUAUAAUCUAGUUAAAUCAUUUGGGAAGAUGAACCAAAGAAAGUGACAGUCUUGUAAACAAAAGAAAAUAUAUUGUGGGGGCAAGUAGCAGUGAGCACGAGAAAUUU